GCUCGGCUAGUCUAGUGGUAUGAUUCUCGCUUAGGGCCACACCCUGAGUUGUAUGCGACCGGUCCUCGGUUUAAACCCGGGUCGAGUC